rnacentral:rRNA from 1 species
UACGUAGGGGGCAAGCGUUGUCCGGAUUUAUUGGGCGUAAAGAGCGUGUAGGCGGUUUGGUAGGUCCGUUGUGAAAACUCGAGGCUCAACCUCGAGACGCCGAUGGAAACCAUCAGACUAGAGUCCGGAAGAGGAGAGUGGAAUUCCGUGGUGUAGCGGUGAAAUGCGCAGAUAUCAGGAAGAACACCCGUGGCUAAGGCGGCUCUCUAGUACGGUACUGACGCUGAGACGCGAAAGCGUGGGGGAGCGAAACAGG